UAUUCAGCGGGUAUGGAGGAAAAUGACGUUUACUUGGUGGAGUGGCGCCAAGGCGUCAAAGAGCCGAAAGGGGGGUGGCCGGCCUAUGAGGCCUCCAUCAUCAAGAUAGCAGUUAACAUAAGGACCGAACUACAAACAUUAGCCUUUUUCUUAGCAUUAUUCUACCUCCUCAGAAAGGGAAAGAACUUUACAAAUAAAACUUAAGGAAAUUGAAGAACAGCUACCCAAGUCAGACACUCUGAAGAGAAAGAGUAAACUUUCAAUGAAACUCCUAGAGGCUGCAGAGAUGCGAGAGGAACCAGCAGAUAAGAAAAAGGUACACCUCACAGACCUACCAAAUGAUCUAAAGGUGUGGAAUGAAAGAAAAAUGGAACAUCUACAGAGUGUGAUAAAAUCAGAUGAGAGAAGAGAACAUGAAUCUAAAUAAAGAGAAUGAGAGGCUGAAAAAUGAAAUACUUGAAAAAAUCCCAUCUCUCCUUCUGGCUACAGAGCACUUACUCCAGGAGUGGCAGUGAAGAAGAGGUUUCCCAAUGUGUCCAGAGGAGCUUUGGGGAUUGCAGUGAAUUCUAAGCUGGGGGAACUGAGACUGCUUGAAAAAAAAAAAAAGUUAAUUUUUUAAAAUUUAAAGUAUGUUCCUUGC